GACGAACGCUGGAGGCGUGCUUAACACAUGCAAGUCGAACGAUGAAAUGGAGCUUGCUCCAUGGAUUAGUGGCGAACGGGUGAGUAACACGUGAAUAACCUGCCCUUAAUUUUGGAAUAACCCAGGGAAACCUGGGCUAAUACCGGAUAAGUAAACCUGUGGCAUCACAUGGUUUUGGAAAGUUUUUCGAUUAAGGAUGGAUUCGCGGCCUAUCAGCUUGUUGGUGAGGUAAUGGCUCACCAAGGCGACGACGGGUAGCCGGCCUGAGAGGGUGAACGGCCACACUGGGACUGAGACACGGCCCAGACUCCUACGGGAGGCAGCAGUGGGGAAUAUUGCGCAAUGGACGAAAGUCUGACGCAGCGACGCCUCGUGAGGGACGAAGGUCUUCGGAUUGUAAACCUCUUUCAGCAGGGACGAAGCGAAAGUGACGGUACCUGCAGAAGAAGCACCGGCUAACUAUGUGCCAGCCGCCGCGGUAAAAC
rnacentral:rRNA from 1 species